rfam:Pseudomonas fuscovaginae strain IRRI 6609 Pf_IRRI_6609_contig_30.30, whole genome shotgun sequence.
AAGGACGUCGAGCAGGAAGCUCAAAGCAAAACACGGACACGUAGGAUUCCGCCAGGAUGGUGGAGCGAAAUGGAUGUCAGGGAAACAGUCUGCAAAGCCCCGCUUCGGCGGGGUUUU